ensembl:lncRNA
AGCCCCGUCCUCCAGGGCAUGAAGCAGGUAUGGAGGAACCUUUUAAAAAAACAAGCGCGUCCAUGCUCACAGGUGUACACACGGGUGAUCACACCCACAAACUACACCCUUUUUGGCUCCUACCUCAAAGCACACUGUGUUCUGUUGAUCUUAUGUGCUGCACAAUAAUGUUUAAUAUUUAGUAUUUACUGUCAUAUUCCCAUAUAUCAUUGUGAUGUUGUUUAUUCUAUUACUCUUGUUCUCUUCUGCUUGUUUUCUUUUUUCUUUCUCAGCAGGUGAUCCAGGUGAUUGAUAUAUGCAUUUUUUUUCUUUUUUUUUUCUGCCCAUUCUGUUGGUUUUUGUUUUUUACCCUUCUCCCCCGUCCCUCUUCUCAGCUGUUUCUCUUUCCCUCUUUCUUUCUCCCCUUCUUUCCCCCAGUCAAGUCUGUCCCGUAUUCAGCAAGUGAAAAUAAAAUAAACAAUAAAAGGUGAAUCAAAUGGACCAUUACGGCAAGGCUGGGAUGGUCAAUUUGGUAAAGUAAAUCCAUUGGGCAUCUUUCUUUGCCUUUAGACAACAAUUCUGAUGGCAAAAGAGCCAAACGGGACAGGCCAAAAAAAAAAAAAAAUGCGAUACGUAGGAUGGCUAUUGUUAAAUGCAGCCUCUCAAAGUCAAACAAAUCAAAAAUAUUUGGCUUCUUAAUUGAUUAGGUUUGGGGCAAUCAAGCUACUGCACACAAACAAACUUAUCUCCUGCAUAUUAAGCUCAUAAAUGAAUACCAUCUCUUGGCAGUGUGUUCAGCUGAAUCUAUGGGUGAACAUAAUAAGGCUUUACCUGGGAGUAAAGUUCAUUUUCCCUCAUGAAUUCCAUUCAGAGACCAAAAAAACACUGCUGAUGUUAUUAGGACUGGUGCGUGGGCAAUUUACACACAUGAAUAAAAUGUGGUUUGAUUUUGAUGAAGACAGUAUCUCAUCAGUCCCCUUGUUAAAACUGUUUUAUUAUCCCAAGGUUAAAGCAAGGUCCUUAAAUUCUGUACAUAAUUUUCUCAGAACAACUGUACCAAGUAAUAGUAUUAUUUGUGCUGUGUGUGAAACGUUUCUCCAAUGC